AGUUCUUGGGUCACUUGAUCUUGCUUAAGAUCAAGGGGAAAUAAGAGGAUAAGAUCGACAUCAAAUACUGAAUUUGAGGGUUUGCAUUACUAUUUUUUCUCUUGUAUAACAUUUUGCAAAAGGUUAUAGUAACUAUCUCAAUUCCCAUUUGGAAUUAGGGGCAGACAUACUCAUAGCGAGGUCGAUUAGGGAACUGCCUAAACAAAUCUUCUCUCUCUCUCUCUCU
rnacentral:lncRNA from 1 species